GCAUUUACUACCAUAAGAGCACUGAUAAAGGAGUGACUUAUGUCAUGGAGAGGGCAUUCCUGAAGGAGCAAAAUACAUAAGCAAAGGCACAGAGGUGAGAAAGCAAUGGAGAUACUUAUGGUCCGAUAUGGUUCAGCACCAGAACGCUGGACCCCCCAGGAACCUCCCUGAGGUCUCUGCCUCUUCAGCCUUAAACUCUCCUGCACCUCCAAUUCCAUACCACUUGGGAAAACCCUAACCCAAGAUUUCUUCAUCACAGUUCCUUAGGCUUAUAUGAAAAUGCUCCUGCUACCUCAUGGAAAUAUUUGCAUUCUAACCAAAUAAUUUCAAGGCUUCUCAAAGGCUGAGGGAGAUCCAGGCUGCCUCCAUUAUUUUUGAGGUUCCCAGUAUAUUAAACUUUUUAAAAAUACUAAAAUAAAGUUUUAAAAAUCGGUGGUGU